CGUGCCCGGGCAUGGUUCAGUGGGGAAAUGGGAGCCUUGGUUCUACACCAGUGAAACCACCCCAGCCCUCUCAAUCAUCUGCAACAGCUGGGUAUCCUGUCUGGGACCUGCCUGCAGAUUUCAGCCACUUCUGGAUACACCUGGGACAGGGCUGAUACCUCCACUGUCUUACACUGUGAAGAGCGGGACAAACCGAUGAGUGACAGACUACUGAAUCAAUCCCCUUUUAAGCUGCUUAAGUUCCAGAUUUAGUUUUAAAGAGAAAAAAAAUUGUCAUCUUUUUAAAAAAACUGCAUCUUCUUUCUCCUAAUAGCUAAUAUUUAUUGAGCAUUCAUGACACGUAUACACUAUUUUAAACUGCCACUGUGGGUUGAUGUCACUCCCCCAUUUUAUAAACAUGGAGACUUUGGUAACUUUCUAACAGUACUUGGCCAGUCAGCCAGGCCUGUGCUCUUCAGAGGCGCAAUGGGGUCUUUAUACUACACACUAAUGCUGUUUGCAUGACCAUCCCUAUCACUUUGUUUUUAAUUUAAGACAAACAUGUAAUUUCCUAUAAUUGAAAUAUAUAUGUGAACUAAAUGCAAUUCCUUUUAGGUCAUACAUUUAAAAUUAUGUUAUAAUGAAAAGUAUUUCCUUUAUAAUAUAGAGGUGGGUCCACAUUAAUGAGAACAUAAUAUAUGGAUUAUAGGCCGACUACUCAUUUAAAAAGAGUGUUUUGCUUUCAAAAGG
rnacentral:lncRNA from 1 species